rnacentral:rRNA from 1 species
CCUUCGGGGUUAGUGGCGCACGGGUGCGUAACGCGUGGGAAUCUGCCCUUUGCUUCGGAAUAACAGUUAGAAAUGACUGCUAAUACCGGAUGAUGUCUUCGGACCAAAGAUUUAUCGGCAAAGGAUGAGCCCGCGUAGGAUUAGGUAGUUGGUGGGGUAAAGGCCUACCAAGCCGACGAUCCUUAGCUGGUCUGAGAGGAUGAUCAGCCACACUGGGACUGAGACACGGCCCAGACUCCUACGGGAGGCAGCAGUGGGGAAUAUUGGACAAUGGGCGAAAGCCUGAUCCAGCAAUGCCGCGUGAGUGAUGAAGGCCUUAGGGUCGUAAAGCUCUUUUACCCGGGAUGAUAAUGACAGUACCGGGAGAAUAAGCCCCGGCUAACUCCGUGCCAGCAGCCGCGGUAAUACGGAGGGGGCUAGCGUUGUUCGGAAUUACUGGGCGUAAAGCGUACGUAGGCGGUUAUUCAAGUCAGAGGUGAAAGCCCGGGGCUCAACCCCGGAACGGCCUUUGAAACUAGGUAGCUAGAGUCUUGGAGAGGUCAGUGGAAUUCCGAGUGUAGAGGUGAAAUUCGUAGAUAUUCGGAAGAACACCAGUGGCGAAGGCGACUGACUGGACAAGUACUGACGCUGAGGUACGAAAGCGUGGG